rnacentral:rRNA from 1 species
GAUGAACGCUGGCGGCGUGCCUAAUACAUGCAAGUCGAGCGAGCUUGCCUAGAUGAUUUUAGUGCUUGCACUAAAUGAAACUAGAUACAAGCGAGCGGCGGACGGGUGAGUAACACGUGGGUAACCUGCCCAAGAGACUGGGAUAACACCUGGAAACAGAUGCUAAUACCGGAUAACAACACUAGACGCAUGUCUAGAGUUUGAAAGAUGGUUCUGCUAUCACUCUUGGAUGGACCUGCGGUGCAUUAGCUAGUUGGUAAGGUAACGGCUUACCAAGGCAAUGAUGCAUAGCCGAGUUGAGAGACUGAUCGGCCACAUUGGGACUGAGACACGGUCCAG